rnacentral:rRNA from 1 species
AUUGAACGCUGGCGGCAAGCCUAACACAUGCAAGUCGAGUGGUAGAGAGAAGCUUGCUUCUCUUGAGAGUGGCGGACGGGUGAGUAAUGCCUAGGAAUCUGCCUAGUGGUGGGGGAUAACGUUCGGAAACGGACGCUAAUACCGCAUACGUCCUACGGGAGAAAGCGGGGGAUCUUCGGACCUCGCGCCAUUAGAUGAGCCUAGGUCGGAUUAGCUAGUUGGUGAGGUAAUGGCUCACCAAGGCGACGAUCCGUAACUGGUCUGAGAGGAUGAUCAGUCACACUGGAACUGAGACACGGUCCAGACUCCUACGGGAGGCAGCAGUGGGGAAUAUUGGACAAUGGGCGAAAGCCUGAUCCAGCCAUGCCGCGUGUGUGAAGAAGGUCUUCGGAUUGUAAAGCACUUUAAGUUGGGAGGAAGUGCAGUAACCUAAUACGUUAUUGUUUUGACGUUACCGACAGAAUAAGCACCGGCUAACUUCGUGCCAGCCGCCGCCGUAACAC